rnacentral:rRNA from 1 species
GAGUAUGAUCCUGGCUCAGAAUCAACGCUGGCGGCGUGCCUAACACAUGCAAGUCGAACGAGAAAGUGGAGCAAUCCAUGAGUACAGUGGCGACCGGGUGAGUAACACGUGACUACCUACCCUUGAGUGGGGGAUAACCCCGGGAAACCGGGGCUAAUACCGCAUAACAUCGCAAGAUCAAAGCAGCAAUGCGCUUGAGGAGGGGGUCGCGGCUGAUUANCUAGUUGGUAGGGUAACGGCCUACCAAGGCGAAGAUCGGUAUCCGGCCUGAGAGGGCGCACGGACACACUGGAACUGAAACACGGUCCAGACUCCUACGGGAGGCAGCAGUGGGGAAUUUUGCGCAAUGGGGGAAACCCUGACGCAGCAACGCCGCGUGGAGGAUGAAGUCCCUUGGGA